GUGAGGAAUAUUGCGCAAUGGAGGCAACUCUGACGCAGCCAUGCCGCGUGCAGGAAGAAGGCGCUACGCGUUGUAAACUGCUUUUAACCGGGAAGAAACCCCAGGACGUGUCCUGGGUUGACGGUACCGGAGGAAUAAGCACCGGCUAACUUCGUGCCAGCAGCCGCGGUAAUACGAAGGGUGCAAGCGUUAUCCGGAUUCAUUGGGUUUAAAGGGUGCGUAGGCGGAGCGUUAAGUCAGUGGUGAAAUCCUGCAGCUUAACUGUAGACUUGCCAUUGAUACUGGCGCUCUUGAGUGCGCUUGAAGUGGGCGGAAUGUGCCGUGUAGCGGUGAAAUGCUUAGAUAUGGCACAGAACACCAAUUGCGAAGGCAGCUCACUAAGGCGAUACUGACGCUGAGGCACGAAAGUGUGGGGAUCGAACAGGAUUAGAUACCCGUGUAGCC
rnacentral:rRNA from 1 species